rnacentral:rRNA from 1 species
AGAGUUUGAUCCUGGCUCAGGACGAACGCUGGCGGCACGCUUCACACAUGCAAGUCGAACGUGAAGCCCGGGCUUGCCCGGGUGGAAAGUGGCGAACGGGUGAGUAACACGUGAGCAACCUGCCCCGAAGACUGGGAUAACACCGGGAAACCGGUGCUAAUACCGGAUGUCCUCGCCGGAUCGCAUGGUCCGGCGAGGAAAUGGUCCUCCGCUUCGGGAUGGGCUCGCGGCCUAUCAGCUUGUUGGUGGGGUAACGGCCCACCAAGGCGACGACGGGUAGCUGGUCUGAGAGGAUGUCCAGCCACACUGGGACUGAGACACGGCCCAGACUCCUACGGGAGGCAGCAGUGGGGAAUCUUGCGCAAUGGGCGAAAGCCUGACGCAGCGAUGCCGCGUGCGGGAUGAAGGCCUUCGGGUUGUAAACCGCUUUCAGCAGGGACGAAAUUGACGGUACCUGCAGAAGAAGCCCCGGCCAACUACGUGCCAGCAGCCGCGGUAAUACGUAGGGGGCGAGCGUUGUCCGGAUUUAUUGGGCGUAAAGAGCUCGUAGGCGGUUCGGCAAGUCACGUGUGAAAUCUCCACGCUCAACGUGGAGGCGCCACGUGAGACUGCCGUGACUCGAGUCCGGUAGAGGAGCGUGGAAUUCCCGGUGUAGCGGUGAAAUGCGCAGAGAUCGGGAGGAACACCCGUAGCGAAGGCGGCGCUCUGGGCCGGUACUGACGCUGAGGAGCGAAAGCGUGGGGAGCAAACAGGAUUAGAUACCCUGGUAGUCCACGCCGUAAACGUUGGGCACCAGGUGUGGGGGUUCUAUCGACGGACUCCGUGCCGUAGCUAACGCAUUAAGUGCCCCGCCUGGGGGAGUACGGGCCGCAAGGCUAAAACUCAAAGGAAAUUGACGG